UACGUAGGGGGCAAGCGUUGUCCGGAUUUACUGGGCGUAAAGCGCGCGCAGGCGGCGGUGCUGGCCCGGCGUGAAAGCCCCCGGCUCAACCGGGGAGAGUCGUCGGGGACCGCACCGCUUGAGGGCGGUAGGGGCUGGUGGAAUGCCUGGUGUAGUGGUGAAAUGCGUAGAGAUCAGGCAGAACACCUGGGGCGAAGGCGGCCAGCUGGGCCGUCCCUGACGCUGAGGCGCGAAGGCGUGGGGAGCGAACGGG
rnacentral:rRNA from 1 species